CGCUGCGGGCCCCGCCCAGCCCAGAGCCGGGCUCGAGUGCAGGGCCUGGCCGACUCCAGCUGUUCCGGAUACGGGGCGGGGGCCCGGCGGGGGCCGGCCGCGGCUGGGGCUUCCCUCUCAGGAACUCGCCUGGAGGCCCCGGUUCCAGGAUCAGGCUGGGGGCUGGGACCCUCCGGCCUGAAAUCUGUGAGCACCAGGCGAGCAUUUUGUGCGCAUCGCUAUUUGAAGGUGUUCGCUUUUUAAUACGUGUCUUGGCGUGUGGUUCUCCUUGUGUGUUCGUGUAAACGUAUGUGAACUUGUGGGUAUAUUGGAUGGGUUUGAACUCCAGCUCUGCCUUUCGUUUCCUCUAAGACACCCCAGAGGGGCUGUGGCCUCGGGCCCUCUUCUCUCCUGCUCCGGGGUCUGCUUUAUGUGGGGCCCUAAUUUUCCAUUUUUGUCCUUGGAGAGAGGAGGGGAGGAAGAAGGGGUUGGAGCCAAGCGAAGAAGAGCUGUUUCUCUCCACACACACACAGACCUGGCCCUGGCUUUGUCUGGUAAACUCCUGGUGGGCAUCGCGGUGGGGCCAUUUAGCUUGAGCCAGAAAGGCCAGCCUGUGGACUCGUGGGCCCAGGAGUGGGUAGGAGGGAAGGAUAGGAAUUCUUGCCCCCAUUGCUGUCCCAGAGAGGGAGCAAGCUAAGUGGGGCUGUGGGGCAGGGAGCGAAUGGGUUCUCUGUCGGGCGCGUCAGAGAUAGGCUUCUUUAUCUUCCGUUUAGUUACGCGUUUGGGAUUGUGGCCGGAAGCUCUCCGGUUAAAAGGGAAAGCGUAGGGAGAAAAGAGUCUCACUUUGGGCCCCAGGGCGGACCCCAAGCCUCCCGGGAAGUGUUGGGAAGAGCUCUCUACCCCCAAGCCCAUCUCUGUCCUGCCUGUGGGGGGUGGAGGACAAUGGCAGGUGCUGUGCUCUGAGGCAGGAGUCCUAAGAAAGAGGAUCUCAGUUCCCCCAGAGAAGCCGGCCCCUCUGCCGGGCAGGCCUGUCUCUGUUGCAUCCCUGCUAUCCUGAGAGCCAUAGGUGAUGCUGGGCCUAGCAACGGUGCAACUGGAGCCUAGGGUCCCAUGGAGAGGGCGCCAGGCUUGGGGCCAACAGGGGUCUGCCUGCUCCCCUGACUUCCUGCUGUCUGGAUCCCACUGCAGCCCUUUCCUGCCAUAACCCCCCCCCCAAAGCCUCUGACAAGCCACACCCCUUGGGCUAGAUGAAGGCUUCUCCAAGUCUGGUAACUGGGACCCUCCAGUCCCUUUCCUUAGGGGAAAGAGGAGCCAGGCACUUUCUAUCAUUACCCACCCCCUAUCCCAGACUCCCCUCCCCCCACAAGCGCUCCUGUCCCAUUCUCUGCACCUGGUACUGGUCCACAAGACAGGACCUGGGAGAAGCCAAGCUCCUGUUGCCCAUUCCCAGUCCCUCCCGCGCAGUGGAGUUCAGGGCCACUGGGAGGCUGUCGGGAAGGGGAGGAAUGUAAAUCGGCGAGCAGAGCAGAGGGACUCUGCUUCCUGAGACCUUUCGUUUCCAGCCACACACUGUAAAGUGGCGAUUCGGCGAUUCCGUGGUCAUCUGCUCCAUCGCCUCCACCCACCUUUGCCAAAUCUUCUCUUUCCUUGCCAAGCCUGUACCACAGCUUUGAUUUUUUUUUUUUUUGGCCUGAUUGGUUAACCUAUGCUUGGGUACACUGCGUGGCUGGAGGUGCACAGGGUACACAGUGGUACCACCUGAUAUUUUGCUGUUUAGUCUCUCUUGCCUGGAACACCUUAUCCAGGCUGCCUUCAAAAAUCAGCCCAACUCUCCCCACCAACCUGUGUGAGAGAAACCUGUGUGAGAGAAACUCGGAUCUUCUAGACCCUUAGGAUCCCAAAUCCGUGGGCUUUCCCCACUCCUUCUGCAGAGUAACCAGGUACAAUUUGGGGUCAUCAAAUGACUCCUUCCCUCCAUAUUUUGAGAUCUUUAAGGGCAGGAGCCUGGACCUGGGGAUUCCAUCCACCUGGGACUUGCACAGGCCUGGGGGACACAGGGUGGAGGAAUAGUUUUUGGAUGAGUCUCCAUUGAGGAAGUGGGGUGCAAGUGAUUACAGAAUGACUUGGGUCUGGACUGUUCCCCCUGGAGGGGCCUGGAGAUUAUGGAGCGCCAAAGGGGGAGGGACUGGGGCAGUGGGAGGAGGUUGAUUGAAAAGCUACCAGUUGAAGGCUGGCAUCUUUCUGCCCAACCCAUUCCUGGGGCCCAAGCUGGAGUGAGGAAGGCUCUCUGUCUCCCCCCACCCCAUCCCCACUCCCUAUCAGCUGGGCCAGCGUCUUUGCACCUGGAGCUGGAAGCAGCUGCUCUCUGGAGUCCGUUCUCAGAGGCGAUGCCCAGCCCACUUGUAUACGGGCUCCUGAAUGCCUCUUAGCUGCCUGUGUGGCCAGGGUCCUGCCUUAUUCCAGGGAAUAAGGGAAGGGCUUGUUCUGCCAAAAAUCUGCUUGCCCUCCAGUUUAGAGAAUAUUCCAGACAAAGAGGGAAAGAGUGUUGCAUGAAUUAACACAAUAAAGGGACCCCGCAGACCCAAACACAACGAGUUCUUCCUAAGCACAGGGGAGUAAUUCACGUAAACCUCCCACCGCUUUCCAGAGUCGAUCCCGAUUCUUUUGGUAGCGCCAACUGUUUCCAGGUUUUUUGGGCAAGCACCACCCUUGACCUUCAGGCUCCUUUACAGAAAUUUUUUUUUUUUUUUUGGUCCCAUGGAAACCUGCUGCCCUGAUGACCCAUGUAAAAUUUGGAGAGGGUUUCUUCCACUAUAGAAGUGAGCCAGGGUAGCCAGCCUCCUGCCACCCUGGCUGAGCCGCACUGCUCGCUCUGGGCCACCAUCUGUAGUGACAACACAUCCAUGACAGUAAACACCGUAGCCCUCACCUCACCUGGCUCCAGGCUCAGUUCUACUUCUUUCAUUUACUAUUCAUAAUUCCUUAAGGUAGCUACUACUCCUGUUUUACAUAUAAGGAAAAGAAGGCCCAAACAAGUUAAGUAACCCUUCCAAAGUCACACUGCCUCUCUUGGAGAAAUCAGGAUUGGAGCACUUUUUUCUGACCCAAGUCUGUGCCCUUAAUACUUGAACCAUGAAGCUCUUAACCAGAUGUCCCUAGGGGCACUCUGAAUGGCUGAACUCAGCCUGGGCCUCAAAGAGGGGGUGCAAGAGCUGGGUGGGUGCAUUGUUCCUGCCAGCGGCUUGCAGAUGUGAGGCACGUCUGUUGUGCACACCUCCAACAUGCACAGGAGGCAGACUCAUUCUUUAAUGCAUCUUAGCUAUGCUGAGGACACCUGGGUCCUGGACUUAGCUGUGUGGCCGGACUCAGGAAUGGUCUCUGUUCAUUCUGGUUUUUAUGGAAAACAACACUGAGUCCCCAUCGUACCCAGAAGCAGAGGAAGAUGGAACAGAAGAUGAGAUGGAGGCGUGAUGGCGGCCAGGGGGUGGCAGAAAACACACUUAGCCUGCCCCCUCCAGUGGCCUUGGUGUCAAUGAAGGACUUAGAGGAACCCGUAUGGGGGGUCAGGGUGCCGGUCAGCUCUGCAGACCCCAGAAACUGCAUGUGAAGCCGUGUAUUGUGAGACCAGGUGGGCACAUUUUUGGGGGCCACUAUUUACAAAGCACAUUGGAUCCUCAAGGAGGUUAGAGAUCCAGAAAAAGAGCAGAGUCAGGGAGAAGGGGGGACACCAUGGGGAGGGGAGUUACCCUUUCUCAGGUGCCCCACAAUUCAAGCUGCCCUCCCUCCAACCUGCCCCUCUGCCUGACCCACUUUCUCUGGCUGGGGCCGAUCUCAGGAUCUCAGCUGGUGGGCAGGGUGUGAGGCUAGGACAUUUCUCUGGGAAGCCAUCUGCCCCUCCCCAUCCCAACCCCCUACCACACACACUUCUUUUGUGAGCUGAAUUCCUUCAGAGCUCAGUGACAAGGUGGUCCACAACCAGGGCCACGUGGAGGCAGGGGGUUCACUCUGCUUGGGAAGUGUGUGUGGUCAGGGCAGAGAGAGAGGAGGGAGAAGGGCCCAGAUCCAGGUACCCAGCCUGAAGGACAGCCCUGUCUGAAGGAAGGUUUUUCCCCCUCUCGUUCUGGGACUUGAAUGGCUGCUCCCCUUUCCUUCUUGGCACUAUGCUUUGUCUUUAGUGCUCAACUCAUCUCCUUGGGGAAACCUUCCUUGCCCUGUUCAACUGUGUCCUCAGCACACCCCCUUUGGGGUCACUGUCACAAUGCCAGAAACAUGUUGGUUCCUCUGUCUGCCCUUCUGCUAUUCUCUCCAUCUGGCUGUGAACUUGGGGAGGAAGGGAGUGGAAUCUCCUGUCCAUCUCCUACGCCAGCCUGGCAUACACCGGAAGGGCUCCCUCAGCAUUUGUUGAAUGAACAAACUAAAUGAAUAAACCAGAGACAAAGAGAGAGCCAGGCGGUGAACUCAGCCUGGGCCUCAAAGAAGAGGUGCAAGAGCUGGGUGGGUGCAUUGUUCCUGCCAGCGGCAUGCAGAUGUGAGGCAUGUCUGUUGCGCACACCUCCAACAUGCACAGGAGGCAGACUCAUUCUUUAAUGCAUCUUAGCUACGCUGAGGACACCUGGGUCCUGCCUGGACUUAGCUGUGGCUGUGUGGCCAGACUCAGGAAUGGUCUCUGUUCAUUCCGGUUUUUAUGGAAAACAACACUGAGUCCCCAUCGUACCCAGAAGCAGAGGAAGAUGGAACAGAAGAUGAGAUGGAGGCGUGAUGGCGGCCAGGGGGUGGCAGAAAACACACUUAGCCUGCCCCCUCCAGUGGCCUUGGUGUCAAUGAAGGACUUAGAGGAACCUGUAUGGGGGGUCGGGGUGCCGGGUAAGGUUCUGGUUCUGUUCUUAAGGUGGCCUUUGAGUUGGAACUUGAAAGAUCAGAUGCAUUUGGACAGGUGCAGAAGCAGGGGGCACUUUGGAGGCAAGGGCACCAGCCACACCAGAAGCCCGAGGUUUGGGCUGGGAUAGGGAGCCCCAGGGCCCCCCUAGUGGUGCCCUUCCUCACCUGGCCGCUGGUUGCUGGGGCGAGGAUGAACCCGUGGCUGUGCUGCAGCAGAGCUGCAGCCUGGAGGCCCCAGAUGGCUGUUCAGAGCUGGGGGUCGGCUGCAUCCAGGCCACGGUAGCUCCGGUGCCAACGGUAGGGAUUCCGCUCCUUGCCGAAGCUAGAAGCUCCACGAGUUGCCCUUCUCCCUCCCUAACCCACUGGGCCCAGAAGCUCCGCGGCCCAGGAAAGCCACCCCGUGGUAGUCAGCGCCCUCUAGUCCACUGUGGUCCACCCCGAGGGCCUGGAUCGAGAGUAGGAGGCUGAGGAGCGGGCCGGGCAGCGAGGCGGGCACGGCAAAGGCCUGAGUCAGGCUUCUCGUAAUAAACUGCACGUGAAUAAUUCAGCAGCCGCGCGGGGGCUCAUCGCAUUAGCGCAGUCGCCGCCCGUGCAGCCCCCACCCCCACGCUGGCCUUGCCGAAGGGAGAGAGGCGGUGGCGGGGUGGGGGGUGGGGGGAGAUUCCCGGGCCUGUUCGCGUCCCGGGAGCCACUCCCGUCACAGGGCCGCCUGCUGGGCGGUGCAGUCCAGGACGGGCCUCUCCGGUGUUCCAGGCGCGGGGCCAGAGUGGGCAGGAGGCCAGAGUAGGGGCUUCGGGUGUCCGACCCGCGGCCCAGCGCCCAUCCACACCGCGACGUGGCGCCAAGCAAAGGAAGACUGGCUCGGUCACGUGCUCACAGCCCAGAUCCCCUGGGGGCUGCUUCGGCCGUCCGGGCUGGGGUUCUCCUCAUCAUAGAAGCGAGGUGCCCUUCCCUGGUUCAGGACCCUAAGGGUCCCAGCCGGAGCAUUCGCGGAUCCAAUUCCUGCUGUGCCAGGCUCUUCCACCCGUGUGGGCCCCGCAAUGCUCUCCCCGGCGCGGUUAGGGAACCCUAGGCUGCCGGGCCUGGGAGAGAUGCCAAGGGCGUAGCGCCCGAAUUUCGUUUGCGCGGAACAGCUCCCUUUGGCUUUUCCCGGUUCCCACAAGUCCCCGAGUUGCGGAUUUUGAGGAGUCCCUCGCCAACCCACACCCACCAAUGCUCAAUUCUUUCAGGGCCUCCCCACGCACUUUCACGUCCAUCAGGUCGCCCCGCCCUCUCCCGUCCCACGAGGCCUCCCCCUACACCCCCCGCCACGUGGUCAAGCUGGGCCCUCGCCCCUCGCACUGGCUCCGGACUCUGCGGGCCCCAGCAGCCCCUCCAUCCCCGAGCCCCGUUUUCUUCCUUCCGCGGCUGCCUCCUCCUCUUCCUCUUCGCAGGGCCUCCACGUAUUUCUCGUGCGUUUGGGGAGGGGCGGGCCGCCACAGCCUCGGUGGCCGAAGAGGCCGCCACGACCACCCCUCAUCCCCGCGAACUACAGCGCCGCCGCCCGCGUGCUCGCGAGCGAGCCCACGGGCCAAGGGCACGAGGGCAGGGGGAGCCGUGGGACGCAGCCCUCCCGUUCGUUUGGCAAACGGGGCUGCCUGCGUCGGGGCCCAACGAGGAAGGGAGCCCCUGGGGGUGCCACGCACCGGAAGCCUCUCUGACCCUCACCGUGUCUCCGUUUUGCCGAAGAGGGAGCUGCGGUGAAGGGCGCGGCGGGCCCCUCAGCGCCACAGCCAAGACUCCCAGGUAGCUGUUCAUGGUAGUCCUGCCUCCGAGUGUGGAAUGAGCCCCCAGUGGCAGAGGUGAGCAAGGCCACGGAGGAGCAGCCAUGUGCAAGCACCGUGGACCACACUGACACUGCUCCUGCUACAAGCUAAGGGCUCCAGAAAAGAACAGACCCUCAGGACACAGCUGGGUUGCGCUGAUGGUCAACAGUAACCCGAAAACUUGGCACCUGGGAAGCACUCAAUGAAUGAUGGCUUUGGAGUAAAGCUGCUGGAUCUGUCCAUAGAUCUCCAUCAUCGACUUGCCCAUCAAUCAGUCUACACCUCUCGCCUCCCGUUGUCCCAGGCCGGGAUUAUUACCAAGCCAGCUGUUGUGAACAUCCUCCUGCGUGGGUUUUGCUGAACACAAGCAUUCGUUUCUUACAAGCAUCCACCUCGGAGCUGAUUUGCUGAGUUGUAGAGCGUGCGUGUUUAGCAUUAGUAGGCGCCAACAAGUAUUUGUCCAAGGCAACUCCAUCAGCUCCCUCUGCCAGCACGGUCUGGGAAGCCAGCUGCAGCCCAACGCAGCCAUCCCGCUCCCAGACACCCCGUAAGGAUGCUGGGGCUGGACACAGGCAGGAUGUCUCAGGAUGAGAGAGGCAGCACCCCAAGCUGGAGAUGCAACCUCAGACUUCAACCCCUGCUCUGCAACACGGACCCCUUCCCAGAGCGCCCACCUUCCCGGAGGAGGCGGCAUGCCCAGCCCCUGCCUUGAGGAUGGCCCUCUCCCCUCCCUCGCAGCCCUGGCCACCUUCUGUGGUUUCUUGCAGCUUCUCUCUCCCAGGCCUUCUCCCUGGAAGCUGACCUAGAGCCGGAUUCCCAAAUAAACAGUAACUAAUUGGA